UACGUAGGGUGCAAGCGUUGUCCGGAAUUAUUGGGCGUAAAGAGCUCGUAGGCGGUUCGUCGCGUCUGCUGUGAAAUCUUAGGGCUUAACCCUGAGCUUGCAGUGGGUACGGGCAGACUAGAGUGCGGUAGGGGAGACUGGAAUUCCUGGUGUAGCGGUGAAAUGCGCAGAUAUCAGGAGGAACACCGGUGGCGAAGGCGGGUCUCUGGGCCGGUACUGACGCUGAGACGCGAAAGCGUGGGGAGCGAACAGG
rnacentral:rRNA from 1 species